rnacentral:rRNA from 1 species
CCCUUAGAUGUCCUGGGCCGCACGCGCGUUACACUGAUGCAUUCAACGAGCUUAUAACCUUGGCCGAGAGGCCUGGGCAAUCUUGUUAACGUGCAUCGUGAUAGGGAUAGAUUAUUGAAAUUAUUAAUCUUGAACGAGGAAUUCCUAGUAAACGCAGAUCAUCAAUCUGCAUUGAUUACGUCCCUGCCCAUUGUACACACCGCCCGUCGCACCUACCGAUUGGAUGGUCCGGUGAAGCCUCGGGAUUGUGGUUCUUGCCGCUUUAUUGUGGCGUGACCGCGAGAACUUGUCUAAACCUUAUCAUCUAGAGGAAGGUGAAGUCGUAACA